UUUCCAGGGUCAGGUUAGUGAGGCUGGAUGUUGCUUGUGGUGACGUGAAAGUGGUGUUGCUGCCAGCUGUAUCUUAAAUUGACUGUAUCUUAAAGGACUGGUUGAGAGGAACAGGGGCUAAACAGAAGAAACUCCUCAGGACUGAAGAGUUUCAGGGACAAGUGACUAUACAUGCAAAAUUUGACAAAGACAUUUACCUCCCAGUGGACGCUGAGUUUUACUUUGUUUAAGAUGGAUCCCUGAAGAGACGCACAAUGUUUGCUGAGCGAGUUAGUGGCAGCACUCUUCAGUCCAUAGCUCCAGGCCUUGGAUACCAAGAAGCAGUUUCUGUGUCUGUGUUGCUGUACACAGUGGGUUUCUCACCUGUGGUCCUUGGCAGCUGUCCCAUCACUUACAGAGAGAAUCUGUCAUGCAAGUUGUCUCGCAUUCUGGUUGAUCACACAGAAUGUGUCACUGCCAAUACUCACAAGAUGUUGCUGGAUGAAUUUGGGCUAAGGAUGAAAGAUCUGCAAUCACUGGAUAAUGACUUGAUGAUGGCCAUUGCUUAUGAAAAGUUGUCUUCAACCUGGAACAUCCUUGGAAGCUGCCCAGAAGGCUAUUUGAAGUUAGCUUAUUUGAAGUUGGAAAGCUUUUAACAGUGGUUUGGUGUACAGUUCAGAGCAGAAUAUCUCACUGGUCCAAUUUCUCUACUCAUGUGCUUUAUUUUGUUAAUAUAAAAAAUUGUUCAAGUGUGAGAGGGGUAAUCAGAGAUUUGGUUUGUGCCCAGAGAGGUAAAAAAGAUGGUCAUUGCAACUCUGUCUCCCUAGAAGGUUUGUCUGCCUUGACUCACGUGAAAUGCAAUUCUUUAUUUAUGAUUAGAGCUGUUUAAAAGAAGCAAGGACUGUAUCAUGAAGCUUUGCAGCCAUAAUUCUAACCAAGUGAGAUAUUUGAUCUUGGGAGAAAAAGAUGAUAUUCAGAGUAUGUUAUUGUAGGCAUUCCAAUGUGCAGAGUGAACAUAAUUUUUGCCAUUGUUCUGUCAGUGUUUAUCCUUCUUUUAUGACUAUGGUCAUUCUUUGGGGAAAAUAUCAUUAAACAAGUUUAUAAGUGUUUUUUGGUUUUUUUUUUAGUUGUAGAGGAAGUGGAAUGAAAAUACCUGUGAAACUUUAUAUCAGAGUAUUCUACUGAAAAACUUCAUAACAAAAUCAGGUGGGAUUUUCCUGGUUUCAAGUUUCAUUGCAAACAAAAAACUGCAGUUAGGUUUUGCUGAAGAGUAUAUUUUUCUUUUGCAGAGUCAGCUGAUUUAUAGCUGAGAGUGGAAACUGUGUUUUACUUGAUAGUUUCACAGGUUUUUCACUGAAAAUUUGGUAGUUUUGGCUGUUUUCCUUUUAGUACUUUAAAUUGCUGAAAAUUAGAAGACGAGCAGUUUCCAUGUCAGCCAAACUGAAAGAUAUGCUUGCAAGCUUUUGGGAAAUAAAAACACAUCAGUUAAGCUCAUUUCUUUGGGUAUCUGAGCUUUUUUCACAU